rnacentral:rRNA from 1 species
GAUGAACGCUAGCGGCAGGCCUAACACAUGCAAGUCGAGGGGCAUCGCGGUGCAGCAAUGCACUGGCGGCGACCGGCGUACGGGUGCGUAACGCGUAUGCAACCUGCCCCGCACCGGGGGAUAGCCCGCCGAAAGGCGGAUUAAUACCCCAUGGUCCCGGGGGCCCGCAUGGGCAUCCGGGUAAAGCCUUGGCGGUGCGGGAUGGGCAUGCGUGCCAUUAGCUGGCUGGUGGGGUAACGGCCCACCAGGGCAACGAUGGCUAGGGGGUCUGAGAGGAUGGUCCCCCACACUGGUACUGAGACACGGACCAGACUCCUACGGGAGGCAGCAGUGAGGAAUAUUGGUCAAUGGGCGAAGCCUGAACCAGCCAUGCCGCGUGAGUGAGGAAGGCCCUGGGUCUAAAGCUCUGUCAGGUGGAAGAAUCGAUGAAGUGAACACUCAUCCUGACGUACACAGGGAAGCACCGGCUAACUCCGUGCCAGCACG